GGGCAAUUAGCUCAGUGGUAGAGCGCUUCGUUCACAUCGAAGAGGCUGUUGGUUCGAUCCCAACAUUGCCCACCA
rnacentral:tRNA from 1 species